rnacentral:rRNA from 1 species
GUGGGGAAUAUUGGACAAUGGGGGCAACCCUGAUCCAGCCAUGCCGCGUGAAUGAUGAAGGCCUUCGGGUUGUAAAGUUCUUUUGGUGGGGACGAUGAUGACGGUACCCACAGAAUAAGCUCCGGCUAACUUCGUGCCAGCAGCCGCGGUAAUACGAAGGGAGCUAGCGUUGUUCGGAAUUACUGGGCGUAAAGGGCGCGUAGGCGGUUCGACAAAUCAGAUGUGAAAGCCCUGGGCUUAACCCGGGAACUGCGUUUGAUACUGUCGUGCUUGAAUUCGGGAGAGGUGAGUGGAAUUCCCAGUGUAGAGGUGAAAUUCGUAGAUAUUGGGAAGAACACCGGUGGCGAAGGCGGCUCACUGGACCGACAUUGACGCUGAGGCGCGAAAGCGUGGGGAGCAAACAGGAUUAGAUACCCGAGUAGUCC